AGAGAUUUGAUCGCGCAACAAAAAUCUCGAGCAUGAAACCUCACGGUCUUGAGAGCCAAGGAACUCGAAGCCUCAGAAAACAAGCCAGGCAACAAAGCACAGAACCAACCUCGAAGCAAAAGGAUUCGUAAAGGAUAGCGUAUGAAUCAAAAACAAGAUGACAAGCACAAAUAGUUAAUAACAUUAAGACAACUAAGGUUAAACAGCCAUCAUUUACACCAAAAGUUCACAACCAACAAAUAUUACAGACAUCAAAUGUUUCAUGAUCCUAAACUUCUAGCAAUCAAAUGUUUCAUUUCCAGCCUCGAGCGUUAUGCCUCGUGUUGCCCAAAGCCC
rnacentral:lncRNA from 1 species